rnacentral:snRNA from 1 species
GUGCUCACUUCAGGAGCACAUAUAUCAAAAUAUCAAUGAUACAAAGAUAAUUAACAUGUCCCCAGUGCAAGGAUGACAUGCAAAUUUAUGGAGUGUGCCGUAUUUUU